GAGAGAGAAAAAUUUUUAAUUUCAUAAACUCUCCUUUCUCUUCCGCAUUUUAUCUCUUUCAAAAACUUUGCGGUACUAACUUUAGCCAGGUAUGAAUCAGUUUUGAGUUUUGAUCAGGUUGAUGCAUUCACUGAUUCCGCCUUCAAGGGGAACCUAGCAGCAGUAUGCUUACUCGAGGAAGAAAAAGAUGAAAAUUGAUUGCAAGUUGUAGCUACUAAGUUCAACAUCUCCGAGACCUGCUAUUUUGACUCCCAUCAUCAUUGACUCCGAUGCUUCUAAUUCAAAUCCCAGAUUCCGUCUCAGGUGGUGUACUCCUGUUGCUGAGGUUAAGCUUUAUGGUCAUGCAACGCUAGCGGCUUCACACGCCCUCUUUUCUAAUGGUUUUGUAAAUUCUAACGUAAUUGAGUUUGUCACACUAUCUAGAAUCGUAUCUGCUAAGAAGAUUCCUGAUGGCGAAACCUUUCUCAUUGAGUUGAAUUUCCCUACUAUCCUAAUUAGUGAAUUCAAUUCCAUUGAUCUUGCACCAAUUUCUUAAGUCCUGAACGGUGCUUCAAUACUUAACAUUAAGAGUUCUGCAGAUAGAGAAAGAGAGUUCAAGAAAUGGUUGUUAUGGAAUUUAAAUUAUUUCUCCCUCCUUUUUAACAUAUUUUAGAAGGGAAGAACCUGCAGUUUGGACGAAAUAAAAAUACAGAAGUUUAAGUAUUAGGUUCUAAAAAUAAAGAUACUAAUCCAUUAAUUAUAUUAAAAUUCAGGAACUAAAGUGUAAAAUUACACCCAGCAGGCUGCUGUGGUAAGAAAAUGCACCAAUAGGCUGUUGUGGUGCGAAAUUGCACCCAGCAGCUGGUGCAAAAUUGCAGCCAGCAGGCUAUUAUGGUGCAAAAUUACCCCCAACAGGCUGCUGUGGUAUAAAAUUGCACCAGCAGCAAGCUGCUGUGGUGCAAUCAUGCACCACUGCACCCAACAGCCUGUCGUGGUACAAUCAUGCACCUCUGCACCACAACAGGCUGCUGUGGUGGAAAAUUGCACCUAGUAGGCCAAUGUGGUGCAAAAUUGCACCAGCAACCGGCUGUUGUGGUGCAAGAUUGCACCGAGCAGCCUGCUGUGGUGCAAUCAUGCACCUCUGCACCAUAGCAAGCAGCUUGCUGUGGUGCAAAAUUGCAGCCAGUAGGCUGCUGUGAUGCAUGAUUGCACCAGCAGCCAGCUGCUGUGGUGCAAAAUUGCACCCAGCAGCCUGCUGUAGUGCAAUCAUGCACCUCUGCAUCACAGCAGCCUGCUGUGGUGCAAAAUUGCACCAACAUCCAGCUGUUGUGGUGCAAGAUUGCAUCCAGCAGCCUGCUGUGGUGCAAUCAUGCACCUCUAUACCAAAGCAGGCUGCUGUGGUGCAAAAUUGCACCAGCAGCUAGCUGUUGUGGUCCAAGAUUUCACCCAGCAGCCUACUGUGGUGCAAUCAUGCACCUCUUCACCACAGCAGCCUGCUGUGGUGCAAAAUUGUGUGUGGUGAUAAAUUGCACAUGCCCAUUACUUCUAAUUUAUUGUUAUAUUUUUUUGCCAAAUUGUAUGUUUCACUUGGAUGUCUUUUUUUAGAGCAAUGGGAGAUGUAUCUGACUGUAUAAGUCGUCCGACAGAGAAAUAGUCAGAUUGGCAUAAUUGAUCUAGAUUGUAGAUUAAUUGGAAUCCAUUUGUACGAUGGGCUAUUCAAGGUUAUGUCAAGCUGUGUGAGACUGGUUAGUUCUACAACUAGGAGUUCUGCCCUGAGUGGAAUGCUCCAUCAAGUUAUUCAACUAAUAUUGCCACUGCUAAUGCCACCUAGAUAUACUUUUACAAGUGGACAAGAUAUUGAAUGGGAUUUUGAUUUGGAAACUUCUUCAAAGGAAGUUAGAAGACAUUAUUAUUAUUGAUUUAUUUUAAUAUCUAUAUUUUUUAGUUAUUUUCUUGACAUGAAUGAAGUAGAAGAGAAUAUUUAUUAUUAAUUAUUUUUGAGACAAU